GUCGAUAAUAUUAUGGGGAAUUAUUAUACAUUUAUUUCAGGCAAAUAUUUCGAAUCUCAAUACCUUAACUUGGAUAUAUCAACACAUGAUAUGCCAACAGAAACAUCAAGUAACUUUGAUUAAAAUAUUUCAGCCUCUACUUCAUUAUGUUCUUCUGGAAGUUACGUCCUCCAUUUCAAUAAAACGAUCUCUCAGACAAUUGAGGAUUUGUCAGAAAAUGUUGAUUCUUCUCAAUAUAAUGCCAAAAGUAACUUGCCACACAGUCUGUGCCAACUCGACAAUCUCGAUGAGUUUAUUGCUUUGGAAAAUUUCGCAACAAAUUGGAAAGUCGAAGAUACUGAUGAGGAAUCUUCUAGGGAUUUCAAAGUAAUGUCUACUAUUUUUGAAGACGAAGAAGAAUACAAUUAGUUAAUACUUUAAAACAUUUAGCUUUUUGCUAUAAUUUU